CAGCCGCCGCGGUAAUACCGGCGGCCCGAGUGGCGGUCACUAUUAUUGGGCUUAAAGCGUCCGUAGCCGGGUUGGGAAGUCCUCCGGGAAAUCUGGCCGCUUAACGGUCAGAAUGCCGGAGGAUACUCCCAGCCUAGGGAGCGGGAGAGGCCGAGGGUAUUCCCGGAGUAGGGGGGAAAUCCUAUAAUCCCGGGAGGACCGCCUGUGGCGAAGGCGCUCGGCUGGAACGCGUCCGACGGUGAGGGACGAAGGCCAGGGAGCAAACCGGAUUAGAUACCCGGGUAGUCCUGGCUGUAAACGAUGCGGACUUUGUGUCGGACAAGCUAUGAGCUUGUCCGGUGCCGGAGGGAAACCGUUAAGUCCGCCGCCUGGGGAGUACGGCCGCAAGGCUGAAACUUAAAGGAAUUGGCGGG
rnacentral:rRNA from 1 species